rnacentral:rRNA from 1 species
AUCUAUGGCCACAUCACCCUGAACGCACCCGAUCGCAUCUGCUCUCGGACGCUAAGUAGGGCCGGGCCUUGUUAGUACUUGGAUGGAAAAAUGGCUUAUUUAAUGUU